rnacentral:rRNA from 1 species
GGAUGAGAGGAGCGACACCGCGUGAAGGAUGAAGCCUUUGUUGGUGUAAACUUCUUUCUCUUGGAAGAUAAUGACGGUACAAGAGGAAUAAGGGGCGGCAAACUUCGUGCCAGCAGCCGCGGUAAUACGAAGGCCCCAAGCGUUAUCCGGAAUUACUGGGCGUAAAGCGUCUGUAGGUGGUCUGGAAAGUCUCAAGUGAAGGUCAGGGCUCAACCCUGUACUUGCUUGGGAAACUAUCAGACUUGAGUGC